GGUUUCUGUAGGUGAACCUGCGGAUGGAUCAUUACCAUGAAAUGAUAGACUGCCGGCAGAUCCCGCCCUGGCCAGUCUCUAAACUAAUCUUGAACGCACCACGCACGCCCAGUCGACGCGUGCUGCCAUAAAAAAGGUCGACCCAGCAGCACCCGGGUCUACGGGCUGCCCCGGCGGCGGAUUGGCCACCGCUGCCGGACUGCUGGCCACCACUUCGGGCUGCUGCUGGAAAAAGUCGGGAGCCGUCCGCCAGAGGUGAUUCCCACCCAGGACAGUGGCUCUCGCAGCGCCGUGGGGUGCCGGCGGUCGAGGA
rnacentral:rRNA from 1 species